rnacentral:rRNA from 1 species
UACGAAGGGGGCUAGCGUUGCUCGGAAUCACUGGGCGUAAAGGGUGCGUAGGCGGCCCGUUAAGUCAGUGGUGAAAGCCUCCAGCUCAACUGGAGAACUGCCAUUGAUACUGGCGGGCUUGAGUACAGACGAGGUAGGCGGAAUUGAUUGUGUAGCGGUGAAAUGCAUAGAUACAAUCAAGAACACCGAUUGCGUAGGCAGCUUACUAGGCUGUAACUGACGCUGAGGCACGAAAGCGUGGGGAGCGAACAGG